rnacentral:lncRNA from 1 species
CCGGCCCCCAGGGCGUAUGCCCAGGUGGCAGCGGCCACCGGUAUGCCAUCUCACCCAUCCACCGCCUCCACUUCCAUCUAUAGUGGCCUGGGCCCCUUCCCCACCUUGACUAGAAGGCAUGGCAUCCGUUGCCUCCAGGUGCCCGCCUCACCGCACGUGGAGACCUACGUGCGGGCGUUGGCGAGGGUGGUGGGGCCCACGGCCAUCGUGGCGGCCUCCAAAAUGUAUGGCAAGGUUGUCCUUUUCCUUGCCUCGGAGGCCGCCACCCAAGAGGCGGUGGAGAAGGGCCUGGCGGUGGGGGGCGUAUUCGUCCCCCUGGAGCCGCUAGAGGACCUGGGUGUCCGUGUGGUCCUUACCUCUGUUCCUCCUUACCUUCCCAAUGUCACCCUGCUGCCCGCCCUUUCCACCCUGGGGAAACCUAUUUCCAUCGUUCGCCCUCUCUCGCUAGGCUGCAAGGACCCCGCCCUCCGUCACGUCCUCUCGUUCCGCCGGCACGUGCCGCUCCAACUGCCGCCAGCGGCACGUGCCGGAGAGGCGCUUGAGGGGUCUUUCUUGGUCCCCUAUCAGGGGACCCGUUACCGGGUGCACUAUUCUACGGGGGAGGCCCGGUGCUACCUCUGCCGGGCGAUAGGGCACGUCCGGAGGGACUGCCCCUUGGCCCGGCACGGAGGAGCGUCCGGGACCCCCGAGCCCCGGCAGAGUGCCAGCUCCACCAUUGCUAGCGCCCCUCGUUGUCCGGUACCCGGAGCCGCCCCUCCUCCUUCUCGGACCACCACUGCUCCCGCUCGGGCUCAAGGGGUACCUCCCCCACCAUGCCCAGACGAGCGAGAGAGCCCCGUCUCUGCUACGUGCACUGUGGCGGGGCCUGUAGAGGAGGGUGCGGUGGGGGUAUUGCCGGGCGCGGGAGAGGGCCCUCCCCAGGGGGAUUCUGCCCCCCCUCCUACUGCCCCAUUGUUACCUCCUCCGGUCCUCGAGCCGUCAUCUUUGUCCCCCGACCCAAUCCCUGUCACCCAGCCCGCAGACAAUGCCAUGGAGGGCUGGACCCUAGCACAGGGAAAGCGGGGCAAGCGGAAGGCUCGAGCUCCGCUCCUGCCAUCCGGUGCGGAGGCCCCUCGGAAAACCAGGAAGGGGGGCACCACUGCUGAGCCUUCCGCUUUG